rnacentral:rRNA from 1 species
GCCCAACAGCCCGCCUAAACCCACACCCUAAACCCCCCCCCCAAAAACAACCAAACCAUUUACCACGGAGAGUAUUAGAGAAAGAAAUCCACCCCACAGCGCACUAGCUCACACAGUACCACAAGGGAACCCUGAAAGACUAAUGAAACACCCUAAGCACAAAACAGCAGAGAUUAAACCUCGUACCUCUCGCAUCAUGAUUUAGCAAGAACAAACAGAUUAAAGUGCCCUUCACCUGUCCUCCCGAAACCAGACGAUCUACCAAAUAGCAGCACACAGACUUUAAUCCAUCCCUGUAGCAAAAGGGUGGAAAGACUACUUGGUAGCGGUGAAACGCCAACCGAGCCUGGAUAUAGCUGGUCACUCACUAAAUGAAUCUUAGUUCAGCUCUAGUAUUAGCGCCACAAAAACAAAUAACCCCCCCCAUCACACUAGAAGUUAUACAGUAAAGGAACAGCCUUACUGUAUCCGAACACAGCCGAAACUAGAGGGAAACAAUCCCACACACCACCAGUAGGCCUUAAAGCCGCCACCAUCAAAAACCGCGUCAAAGCGCCGACCCCACAAAAUACUAACACAAAAUAAAACCCCCUAAUGCAAACUGAGUCACCCCACAGCACAGUCCGGGGGCAAUACUGCUAAAACUAGUAAUAAGUUCACCAACUCAUGUGCACCCCCAUGCGCCGGCGCCGAAUCCCCUACCGACAAUUAAACAGCCUAAACCAAAGCACCUUAGACCACAUCAAGAUAACCCAUAAACCCCCUGUCAACCCAACACAGGCGUGCACAAAAUAAAGACCCACAGCUACAGAAGGAAUUCAGCUAAUUAGCGCCCCGCCUGUUUACCAAAAACAUGGCCUUUAGCACAACAAGCAUUAAAGGUCCUGCCUGCCCAGUGAACCACUUUCAACGGCCGCGGUAUCCUAACCGUGCAAAGGUAGCAUAAUCACUUGUCCCCUAAAUAGGGACUAGCAUGAAAGGCCAAACGAGGGCCCAACUGUCUCCUGGAGCCCACCAAUAAACCUGAUCUCCCAGUACAAAAGCUGAGAUAAACACAUUAGACGAGAAGACCCUGUGGAGCUUUAAGCCCAAGUAUCAACACCAAAACUACCAUUGAUACACGCUUUCAGUUGGGGCGACUAUGGAGUAAAACAAAACCUCCACGACACUACCACAGCGUAACCUAAGACCCACACGUCAACCCAUAAAUACUAUGACCCAGUCAAACUGAUCAACGAACCAAGUUACCCCAGGGAUAACAGCGCCAUCCUCCCCAAGAGUCCAUAUCGCCAGGAGGGCUUACGACCUCGAUGUUGGAUCAGGACACCCAGGUGGUGCAGCCGCUACCAAAGGUUCGUUUGUUCAACGACUAAUGUCCUACGUGAUCUGAGUUCAGACCGGAGCAAUCCAGGUCGGUUUCUAUCUAUGAAACUUUUCUCUAGUACGAAAGGACCGAGAAAACAGCAUCAACACUAACAAGCGCAUGCUGCUACAACACACUUGCAACCAAAAUAAAAUCCAACCACCCACCCAGCCCCAAACAAGGGCCAUU